rnacentral:lncRNA from 1 species
CAGGAGGCAUGGAGACACUAGGCACGUUCAGGGGGCUCGGGGACGUGGCUGCACAGGAGCCAUUGACACAGCUCAGCGCCCAGGUGAGGGUCCCCGUGCGGUGUCGCCGCGCCACGUGGCCGGGGCCGAGGGCGGCUCCCGGUGAGUCACUGCCGCUCGCCCCUCCCCGGGCUGCCUCAUAAAGCGCCGCGGUCCCGAGCGCCGCCGUCCCGUGUCUGAGCCACGGGCUCUCCGUGUGUACCGGAGCGGUGGGUGGACAGCCUUGAGGGACACUAGCCGCGACUUGAGGGAUUCCGGGAGGAGGAUGCUGGGGGGUACGGGACUAUCCCAGACUCGGGGGGUGCUGGGUGGAUACGAGGGUACGGGAUCAUCGACUUGGGGAGUCCUGGGGGGAGCAUGCUGGGGGUGCCAUGGCCAUCUGGGAGGAUGCUGAGAGGACGGGACCAUCGCAGGCUCAGGUAAUUUUGGGAGAACCACACGAAGCUCAUGGGGAGCAUCCCUGGGUGCCCAGCAUUGAGGUCCAUUUUUGCCUGCAGAGCUCCUGGGACGCCCUGCUUGGAUCCUUCUGCUCUGCUGGAGCCUGACUGCUUGCUGCACAGGUGCCAUGGCCUUGCAGCCACCCCGUAUCACCACCCUGCGGAUGCCAGCAGAGCUCCCCCGCCCAGGUGAGAGACCCUCGGGGGCAUGGCAGGGCCUAAGGGUGAGGAGGCUGCAGUGGGGGUCAGCUCCUGUGCCAGCCUCCAGCAGACACAAGGUGAAUCCUCCACCCACAGCCGAGAUUUCAGGGUGCUGAUGAGGUGGGGGAAUGUUCCCCUUAGCUGAGGAGGGGGGCUGUGCCUGUGCCUGGGGGGCACUGGGGACCCUUGCAGGCCUCCUGCCUUUCACCCUCCCUCCGGCUGCAGGCGAGAGCGUGACUGUGUCGUGCGAGGCUUUGAGUGGGCUUCCAGAGUCAACGCUGCUUUACUGGCUGGAGAACGGCUUCUUUGUGGAGAGCCUGCACCCGGAUGGGGCUGUGCGUGAGGGGACAGUGCAGUCUCCAUCAUGAAGAUGACAUCCCAGUUGAAGGGCAGGGUGCCCGUUUUCCAGAGGGAGGUGGAGGUGGAGCAGCCAACAUGGAUGGGUUGGUGGUACUGCGAUGUUCCCAUGGACACAGUAGCAGCUAAGAAGGUGGGGGUCAUGUUCCAUACUAUCUCUUUGAUGAGGUGGAGGUCUUGAUGGUGUGGGGGGCUGCUGGUGGCCAGGGUCUGGGGCCAGCAGAUGCUCCAUGGCAGGCAGAGUCACCCUGAGUGAAGCCCCCAGGUGCUGUGGUGCUGCAGACAGGGA